CAGAGGGAGAAGCAGACUCCAUGCAGGGAGCCUGAUGUGGGAUUCGAUCCCGGGUCUCCAGGAUCACGCCCUGGGCUGAAGGCGGUGCCAAACCACUGAGCCACCAGGGCUGCCCCUGCUCUGUUGUUUUCAACCACAAGCUUAAAUUCUCCAUCGACUCAACCAGUUAAAUUCAAGCAUCUUUUCCAGUUUUGCAGAAAAUUUUUCGGUGAAUACUGCCAAUCAUGUAAAAACUCCAUGUGUUUCUACACGUGUCACUUAUAGAAAAAGUUGCUACAGGAAGUUAGCAGCCUUCCCCAUGCUCUUUCCAGACGUGGAAAGCUCAGCUAUGGCUACUGUGGGGGAGCGGGAGGAGCGAGUUUUUCUCAGUGACUUUCCGAGAGACAUAUGAAUAAUCCCAAGCAGAGAAUAAUCUGCGAAUCAGUUCUUCAUUCCCUUUGUUUUCCCUAGAAAAGCUUUAGGAGGUGAUAUUGGAGGAAAGAAGGUCUCUCUGGGAGGCAGAAGGUGAUGCUGGAAAAGCAGGCCAAUUUAGAGCUUUAUGGAAAACAAGACUGAGGGAUGACUGCUGGCUUCCUUGUCUCCUCUGCAGAUUCCUGAAGUUACGUCUUCUAAAUACUGUAGGUUUUUAAUUCUCCUUGGAUUAUUUAAUCACGAGUGUCUUGGUCCUGUUUGUGGAUUCAUACGAAGCAUCUCAUAAAGGUGAAGGAAGGAUAAGGACCCAGAGGCCCUUAGAAUGGAGGCUAUGUUACCAUCUUGGCUUGAAGUAUGGAAACAUCCCUGUGAUUACUGUAGCC